UACAGAGGGUGCAAGCGUUAUUCGGAAUUAUUGGGCAUAAAGCGCAUGUAGGUGGUUUGAUAAGUCUGAUGUGAAAUCCCCGGACUCAAUUCGGGAAGUGCAUUGGAUACUGUCAGGCUAGAGUAUGGGAGAGGUGAGCGGAAUUCCAGGUGUAGAGGUGAAAUUCGUAGAUAUCUGGAGGAACAACAGAGGCGAAGGCGGCUCACUGGACCAUUACUGACACUGAGAUGCGAAAGCGUGGGGAGCAAACAGGAUUAGAAACCCUUGUAGU
rnacentral:rRNA from 1 species